ensembl:lncRNA
UUGGCACUCAAUGCAUACAUGAGAGGCUCUAAGGUAACUUCUGGUAGGCUGGGACUCCUUGGGAAAAACAGAGGAGGCACCACAGAUCCCAUUUUGGGGAAAAACAAAAACAAACAAAAAACUUCCAUUUUCCUCAUGAAACCUCAGGAAUUAAAAACAGAUCCCUCUCAAAAUGAAAGGCUCUGUUCUUUCUUGCAUUGUGUUAUCUGACAGUUUUGAGUUUUGGGAGCAUCAGAAAUUACUUUGCAUUAUGAGAGGGCUUUGGUGUGUAACAACUAGGUAGGAAAUAUACUUUAAGGGAUGGUUAAUAGCAGUUAUGGAAGAAUACUUGACUCUUUGUACGCUUGGAUCAAGAAGCAUGCUCUUGGCCACCUGGAAGAUAAGGAAACAUCCCCACCCCAUCCUGGGAGAUGAGACUCCCAUGAGGGACAGGUGAUUAGAAAAUGGGCUGAUUAGCUUUGGGUUGCCUUGCAAUGAAAUGCAGGGUAGAAGCACUGCACUGUCUUCUCCCAUAGUAUUCUCUCCUUUUGGGGAUCCAGGAUCCAGUGUAAAAUGGCACCCUUAAUUUUGGGGAUCUGUCUUUGCCUUCAGCUGCUUAUUUGCUGCUUAAUUUGGCCCUAGAAACACAUGCUUUCCUGGCCCUGUUGCUCCAAGGGCUCCACCCUGAUAAUACAGUAAUACAGUUAAGAAACUGGCAAAUAAAGAAUCUUACAAGUGGUAAAUCUUCUAUUUAUGUGUUAUAUGUUUACAUCUAAAAGAGCUCUAAUUAAUUGGCUUAAAAAUAAGCACUUAAAUAUUUUGUCAGAAAAAUACAAACUUUAAUGCCUUUUUCUUCAUAUGACAUCCGUAAUCUUUUGGAAAUAAAGACAGUUUUAAAUAUUAUUGGUAAAAUAAAAUGACUUGAAAAUGUAGACAUUUGGUCUAAAUUAAGGUCAAAUAUCAGAUUUGUUAAAUGCUUUAAGGUCAAACUAAGUUUGACCAUCUUGAGUCAAUUUUUGUAUAAGGUGUAAGGAAGGGGUCCAGUUUCAGUUUUCUGCAUAUAGCUAGCUAGUUUCCCCAACACCAUUUAUUAAAUACGGAAUCCUUUCCCCAUUGCUUGUUUUUAUCAGGUUUGUCAAAGAUCAGAUGGUUGUAAAUGUGUGGCAUUAUUUCUGAGGUCACUAUUCUGUUCCAUUGGUCUACAUAUCUGUUUUGGUACCAGCACCAUGCUGUUUUGGUUACUAUAGCCUUGUAGUAUAGUUUGCAGUCAGGUAGCGUGAUGCCUCCAGCUUUGUUCUUUUUGCUUAGGAUUGUCUUGGUUAUAGAGACAUUUUUUGAUUCCAUAUGAAGUUUAAAGUAGUUUUUUCUAAUUCUGUGAAGAAAGUCAAUGGUAGUUUGAUGGGGAUAGUAUUGAAUCUAUAAAUUACUUUGGGCAGUACAGUCACUUUCACAAUAUUAAUUCUUCCUAUCCAUGUUUUUUCCAUUUGUGUCCUCUUUUAUUUGCUUGAACAGUGGUUUGUUGUUCUCCUUGAAGAGGUCCUUCACAUCCCUUGUAAGUUGUAUUCCUAGGCAUUUUAUUAUA